UACAGAGGUCUCAAGCGUUGUUCGGAUUCAUUGGGCGUAAAGGGUGCGUAGGCGGCGCGGUAAGUCGGGUGUGAAAUCUCGGAGCUUAACUCCGAAACUGCAUUCGAUACUGCCGUGCUUGAGGACUGGAGAGGAGACUGGAAUUUACGGUGUAGCGGUGAAAUGCGUAGAUAUCGUAAGGAAGACCAGUGGCGAAGGCGGGUCUCUGGACAGUUCCUGACGCUGAGGCACGAAGGUCAGGGGAGCAAAUGGG
rnacentral:rRNA from 1 species